rnacentral:lncRNA from 1 species
UUAUUUAUUUUUAGAUGUUAUAAUUGCCAACAGCAAAUCACAAUUUUAAUAUCUAAUCUAAUCUAAUAUUUGCUAUUGAUUUGCUUCGACUUAACUAUUGUGUUGUAAAGGGAAUAGUUCACAUUUAUAAAGUGUCCACGCCACCAUUGAAAAGUUAAUUUUAAAUCUAAAUUUGAUUUUAUUUGUAACAAUUUUGUAUUAGACUAUUAAUUUGUUCAUGAUAGUUUAUAUCAUUUGCAUGCUGCGUUACUUACUAAUUUAAUGUAUGUGACUUUUGUAAUGGAUAUUAAUGUAAGAUAUAUUUCAAACUUUACUUUUAUUUGAAUUUUUAUUUUAAUAUGAUUAACUCAAAAUUGAAAACAAAAAAAUAUAUUAGUUAUUCGGGGAUCGGGGACCCUCGGAGAUCCCCUGUUAUUAUUUAGGGAGGGAAUGGAGAUUCUUUUAAAUAAUUUUGACGGGGAUGGGGAGGGGACAGGGACAUACGCAAAAUAUCGGGGAUGAGUACGGGGAGAUUGGUCCCCUCCCCUUCCCAUUGCCAUCCCUACCACAAAUAUAUAUAUCGAUAUAUAUAUGUAUAUAAUUUUGAAAAUACCACAAUGAAGUUACAGUAGAUAUACAGAAGCAAUCCUCAUUGAGAUCAUUACGCGACAUACACAAGAUAUGGUCAUGAAUGCCAAAUCCUAUAGAAGGCGCUGUGCCCAUUACUCUUUUCACAUUUAGACCUGCUGAGGGCAACCCCAAAAUUUAAAGAAGAAUAUUAUCUCUCAAAAAGAAGAAAAGAAAGAAAAGGUACAUCGUUGCUUGUAUAUAGGAAGCUAAGACUUCCCAAUGACGAUAGGAGUCAUACAAUAUUGAUUGAGUUUAUAAUAAUAUAGAAACAGAUAACUGAAAGGUCGAAAGUACAAUUAGACACAGAUUUUAUUUUGUUUUAGCUUUUAUAAAUGCAUGUUCAUAUUUAGCAUCUUUAUUUUGUUAACAGAUCCAGUGAUCCACCAACUUUUGAUCAAAUAAGUUCCGGUUUCCAAAAAAAAAUGUAGCAUUUGUAAGGUCCAACAUUCAGUGCUCUCUUAAUCAUUUAAAAGUGAAAAAACUUGCUCAAAUAAUACUGAAGAUAUGAGCCACAGCAGUUACAAAUUAAUGGUUAGUUUAAUAACUUUUCUUAUGUAAAUGACAACUUAGUUAUAAAGGUUUUGGUUUAAUUAAUUUCAUCUAGAACAACGAGAGAAGCAUAAUAUCAUAGUAUUAGGUAAGGUAAUUUGAAACGUCAUGAGAGACUUGGAAGUGCUUCGGAUGAUCAUAACCGUGCCAAUGAGACCAUAAAUGAAUCAUGAAUGUGUAAUUAACAAACCAAAUAAUAACGUUUAUGAUGUUUCAAGAUCGUUCAACAAUAACUAAUGCUUCAGACCAUCUUUGAAAAAAAUUUAAUAAAAACUUUAUAGUAAUGACGCAUCUAUGACCUUCGUUUAUAUGAUUGAACCUUUCAAUUUAUCUUGAAAACGUAUCACUUAUUGCCAAUGUAAAAUUGCAUGAGUAUUUUGAAACACAAAUCCAGGCGACAACGAAAUUAUGUGAAAUAGUAAUAGAGCAUGAUCUCUUCUGUUACUUGGAAGAAUCUGGCCCAGUAUUUCUAGCCCAGACGAGGCCCAUAUCCACUCAGAACUGUCUGGAUUGGACCAACAAAAAUCUCAAGAUCCAACCUUCUAGGCAUUAGCAAUUUGGCGUCAGUUAUUAUCUACUAGUUUAUGGCUCCGUUUCUUUUUCAAAAAAAUAAAUAAAUAAACAAACUGUUAUGAAUUUAUUAAAAUAAAUGAGGAUAUUCAUAACAUACAUUUUUUAGUCUUUCCAUUAUCUCCCACUAGCAACCCUUAAGUUCUUUAUAACUCCUACUAUCUCACAAGAAAUUAUGAUUCAUAAUAUUUUUAUUAAUUUCAUGUAGUGAUUAUGUAAAUAUAAAAGGAGACAUCAUCUCUUUAUUUUGUACAUACUUGAAAUGAAUAAAAUCACUCUAUAAUAUAUUGCUCUCUCAUUUUAUAUUUUUAUUCCUUAUCUUGUGUUGCUUCUUUAUUUUGUGUUGUUGUCUAAUAGAUUUUCUAAUACAAGGAGAGUUUUUUGUUAGUAUGUUUAGUACUACCGUUUAGGCCACAUUAAUAAAAUACUUAAUAAAUUUUAGUUACUAUGGUUUGAGGGUUUAUGUAAUUUUAAUCUACAGUUACUUGGUAAAAAAUUUAUAUGAUUUUUUUUGUUUUGUCAAAUUAUUAAUUUUUAUUUCAUAACAAGGGCUUGCAUUUCACUCAAUCAUGGCUUACAAACCACAACCACAAUACUAAAGAAAGUCUUAGAAUUAAUAAAUUUAUCUACCAAUUUUUAUGUGAUUGCAAUCAAAUAUAUUGUACUUUUAAUAUAGCAAACACUUGACAGUUUAUAAUAUGGAACAAUUAAUUCUUUUGUGUAUAAACUUAGUAGAUUGACUAUUAUUAUUAUUAAAAAUUUCUUGUCAUAAAUUAUCCUUACACAUAAUGUAUAAACUUUGAAUAUCAUAAAUUUACAUUUUAGGGUAAAAGCUCAUUAGUCCCUAUAACUUGAAGUUAGUGUUCGUUUAUUUCUUAUAUUUUUAAAACUUGCCUCAAAAUAUCCUUGUAGUUGAAUUAUUGACACACUUGCAUUACUUAUUGUUUCUUUUGACUUGCUUUUACAUAUUACCUCUCGCAAUAAUGUUUCUUUUGUUUUGAAACAAAAAAUUAAAUUACCAAUUUGGCCUAAUACAUAAAAUUGAAACAAAAACAAUAUAUAUUAAUUUUUAUAGAACACUCUGUUGAGGAGUUAAUAUAUUAAUUUUUUAUUAAUGUCCAAAA